rnacentral:rRNA from 1 species
UAGGCGUAAAUGAUGCGAGUUAAGUGUGGGGCAUCUACGAGAUGGCCCUGUGCUGUAGGGUAGCCGUUAAACUCGCUGCCUGGGGAGUACGGUCGCAAGGCUGAAACUUAAAGGAAUUGGCGGGGAGCACCACAACGGGUGGAGCCUGCGGUUUAAUUGGACUCAACGCCGGAAAUCUCACCGGAUAGGACAGACAUAUGAUAGUCGGGCUGAAGACUCUACUUGAUGAUCUGAGAGGUGGUGCAUGGCGUCAGUGACU